GUUUUCCUCGACUUUACACUGAUCAGGUUACUGACUCUUCUGAGCUUUAAUGGCCUCGUUACUAACGUGGAGAUAAUAAUCCAUACCAGGGAGGAUUUAGGGAUUCAGUGAGAGUCUACAGAGGGCACCUGGCCUUGGGUUUGGCACAUGGCGGCGCCCAGGAAGUGGCAGCUCUUCCGUCUGGGACCCUCCCUCUCCCCGGGCCUGUAUCUUGUGACUCCUGCAGGGCCCUUCACUGAGCCAUUUGCUUCCUGCCUUACCUAGAGGUCGAAGGUGUAACUUUUUCUCAUUCCAAGGAAGUGCAGUUCCUCAAAUGCUUCUUGAACACCAGCAACAGGGUCCACAUUGAGACCAGAGGAGCCGGGAGCCACUCUGCUGCCACUUUGCCUCUAGGACACUCAAGGCCAAAUGACAGAGAGGAGCAGAGCCCGGGUCCUACUCCAAUCCCAGGAAUCUGGGGGCCUGGGUCCAGAGCAAAAGCAUGGAGCCCAAAGCACAUGGACAGUGUCUGCAGGGAAGCCUGGCUCAAGAACUCAGCAGACUGUCAGCUCUGGGUCCAAUUCCAAGACGCUCCCAAGGCCCGAGUCUUGCUCUGUCCCCCAGGCUGCAGUGCAGUGGUACAAUCUUUGUUCACUGCAGCCUCUGCCUCCCGGAUUCAAGCCAUUCUCCUGCCUCAGCCUCCCGAGCAACUGGGACUACAGGUAUGUGCCACUGCACCUGGCUAAUUUUUGUAUUUUUAGUAGAGAUGGGGCUUCAGCACGUUGACUAGGCUUGUCUCAAACUCCUGGCCUCAAGUGAUCCACCUGCCUUGGCCUCCGGAAAUGCUGGGAUUACAGGCAUGAGCCACUGUGCCCAGCCUGAUUGCUACUUUUUAAAGUGGAGAGAACACUCUUAGCACAUUUUUAUUCGUAUCUGAUAUCAAAAGAAAUAACAUCACGCACUUGUAACUCUGCAAACCCAUGGUGAGGGCAGUCCUGCCCUUGGACUGGGGAGAAGGAAACCCUUGGGACAGGCUCAUCACGAGUUCUCCUUAUGGGAAAGGAAAUCAGAAUUCCUCGUCCAGACAGAGAGAAGAACCAAAGGGGACCACGACUUGAGAAAACGUGGCAUGACUGAAGGCAAAGCUCACUUAAAAAGAUGAGAAAAUAUGUUUUAUAAUUCAAGGUUUGUUCUUUUUAGAAAUUAAUAUUCUAUAAAAGUAUCAGGGAAAGCAAAAGAUAAGUCUGCUGAAUUAUUUGUGCACUUCUCUCGUGUGGCUCUGGAGUGCCUGGAUGCCAUGUUUGGCCAUCCCCAGACACCCUCCCCACCCUUCUUCUCUUGCACCCUCCAUUCUUCUCUGAGACCCCAUGGCUUUGUCUCACGUUCCACCAUGGGUUUUGGAAGAUGACAUCACACACCUUCCUCUCUUCACUGAGCAUUUUAACAUAUUUCUUUCUUUUUUUUUGAGACGGAGUUUCGCUCUUGUUACCCAGGCUGGAGUGCAAUGGCGCAAUCUCGGCUCACCGCAACCUCCGCCUCCUGGGUUCAGGCAAUUCUCCUGCCUCAGCCUCCUGAGUAGCUGGGAUUACAGGCACGCGCCACCAUGCCCAGCUAAUUUUUGUAUUUUCACUAAGAUGGGGUUUCACCAUGUUGACCAGGAUGGUCUCGAUCUCUUGACCUCAUGAUCCACCCGCCUCGGUCUCCCAAAGUGCUGGGAUUACAGGCUUGAGCCACCGCACCCGGCCACAUUUUAACAGUAUAAAAACCAUCAGCUAAGUUUCCUCCAAGUCCCCCAAACCAAUCUGGCUCCCUUUUUACCCCUCUUUGUAUACGAGGGCUUGUAUCAGAUUUUAUUUCAAAAGGGGUCCUGCAGCUACCGCUGGCCUUGGGAACUCUUACAGACUGCACUCCAGAAGGAAGGAGGAGGCAAUGUUCACAUAGCUGGAUCACCCCAACCUCGCCCGCCAAGUUCGCCAUUUCCCUUGCAAUGGAAAGAAAAAACCCUGGCCCAUGGGGUGCUCCGGAAAGGUGACCGAUUCACUUUCUUUUCUCUUCUUUUUUAAGAGGAGUCUCACUGUGUCAUCCCAGCUGCAGUGCAGUGGCUCAAUCUUGGCUCACUGCAACCUCCGCCUCCCGGGUUCGAGUGAUUCUCCUGCCUCAGCCUCUGGGGUAGCUGGGACUACAGACACUUUCUUCUUUCACUUUUACUGACGGACACUUGUUCAGAGGGAGACAGCCCAGGUGCUCUGGCCUGAGGCUCUGACCAAAAAUUUUGUCAACGCCACUUUAAAGUUAAAGAAGUAUUAAUUUUGAAGCUUUGGCCAGGUGUGUGUGUGUGUGUGUGUGUGUGUGUGUGUGUCCAAAGGUGGUAACUUUCGGAUGGGUCUUCCUUGCUUCGUAAAAAGAUAUUAGCUGCCCUUUCAGUGUGGAAGUUGAGGCCCAGGACAGUUUGAAUGAGGAGGUUGGGGCAAAGGAAGACAACGCCCGUUUUCUCUGAGUAGCUGUGCUGCAGAAGCGGACGUUCAAAGCACCUGCCAACUACUCCAUGGUUUCCCAGCUGGAGGAGCCCUGCCCUGCACCCUCGCAGCAGCCCUGAGGCAGACACCCCAGGGAGCACCUGCCUGGGGCACCCCAAGCUGGCAGCAGCAUACAGAGUGGUCAGAAAUGUGCCGUUAACUCUGGAAGGGCUGCUUAAUAAAUCACAGUUUUACUUCCC